GAUGAACGCUGGCGGCGUGCCUAAUACAUGCAAGUCGAGCGAACAGAUGAGGAGCUUGCUCCUCUGACGUUAGCGGCGGACGGGUGAGUAACACGUGGAUAACCUACCUAUAAGACUGGGAUAACUUCGGGAAACCGGAGCUAAUACCGGAUAAUAUAUUGAACCGCAUGGUUCAAUAGUGAAAGACGGUUUUGCUGUCACUUAUAGAUGGAUCCGCGCCGCAUUAGCUAGUUGGUAAGGUAACGGCUUACCAAGGCAACGAUGCGUAGCCGACCUGAGAGGGUGAUCGGCCACACUGGAACUGAGACACGGUCCAGACUCCUACGGGAGGCAGCAGUAGGGAAUCUUCCGCAAUGGGCGAAAGCUUGACGGAGCAACGCCGCGUGAGUGAUGAAGGUCUUCGGAUCGGAAAACUCUGUUAUUAGGGAAGAACAAAUGUGUAAGUAACUAUGCACGUCUUGACGGUACCUAAUCAGAAAGCCACGGCUAACUACGUGC
rnacentral:rRNA from 1 species